UUAGUGGCGGACGGGUGAGUAACGCGUGGAUAACCUGCCGUGUACAGGGGGAUAACACUUAGAAAUAGGUGCUAAUACCGCAUAAGCGCACGGUUCCGCAUGGAACAGUGUGAAAAACUCCGGUGGUAUACGAUGGAUCCGCGUCUGAUUAGCCAGUUGGUGGGGUAACGGCCCACCAAAGCGACGAUCAGUAGCCGGCCUGAGAGGGUGAACGGCCACAUUGGGACUGAGACACGGCCCAAACUCCUACGGAAGGCAGCAG
rnacentral:rRNA from 1 species